CUCAGCCCGCCUGCACCCAGGUGAAAUAUACAGCUUUAUUGCUCACACAAAGCCUGUUUGGUGGUCUCUUCACACGGACGUACGUGACACUGACUUUAAUCAUUUAUAAGACAGGUGGCCCAAAACAACAGGCUCAAGGGAGAUUUGGCAUCUUCUGGAUAAGCCCUUAAGGGGUUCCUUAAUCUCUAUGGAGGGAACUAGACCCGACCAGCCCUCAGAUGCAUACGAUGUGGAGCCCAGGCACUGACUCCCAGGGACUUGCACCAAGGCAGUCCCACACUGGUCAGUUACAGCCUCCUACGUCCCAGCUGUGCGUUUCCUGUGAAAAGAAUAAAGUCUUGCUCUGUCGCCCAGACUGGAGUACGGCGGCGUGAUCUCAGCUCA
rnacentral:lncRNA from 1 species